AAGCAAUAAAUGCACCGAAAAAAACCCAAUCAGAAACACUGAAAUCUGUCCCCUCAAAUGUCCAUCUUAUCCUCUGCCCUCAGUUUGAUGAUUUCACUCUUUUAGGGAAGCUGAUUCAUUCAAAAACUUGUCAUUUCUUUAAGCUUCCCUUGUCAAAACUAUCCUCCCAAAAACUCUUCAAUCUGGUUCAUUCACCCACUCAACCUACAUUUGAUUCUCAGCAUACUCCGGAACUCCCCCUUCCAGUUAUUUUUAACUCCUAUUCGGACUGCUUUGCGGCAAGCAACUCCUUCAGCGGUGAAGGCGGAGACGACCCUUUGGUGGGUUUCUAAACAGGAUAUGAUAACUAGCCCUUCUUCAUUCAUGACUACUACUCCUGAUGCAGAAAGAUUAUUCGGUAAAUCAAACGCCCCGUCGAAGUUGAUCUUGACAAACUCCCGACGUGGGUACCUCUAAUGUAAUAGCCCAAAAUUGGCUCUAGUUGGAACAGAGGUUUCGGAACCACAAAAUUUGAGAUAUAAAUAAUUAUUUUAUUAUUAUUUUGAGGUCUAUGAUAUGAUUGCAUAAUUGUGUGAAAA